GGACUUUUUCUACAGGGACUAGAAAAAGACUCUACUAGAGAGUCUUUUUUGAUUAGUCUCUGGGACUAGAAAAAGUCCUAGGACUUCUGAACCAAACACCCCCUAAGAUUCGAUGUCUAUGUGCUCACUGUGCUAGUCCCUGGAUCAAUAGCUAGCACACACAGUACAAGAUGUAAUAUCAAGAAUAAACCACAUGUCAUAACAUUACAUCAUAGAUCCAGAAUUUAAUAUAAUACAUACCUUCAUAGCUCAAGCUAGCAUACAAAUAAAAUACAGCGAAAAAGCAAAUAAAAUCUUCAUGAAGUCCAUCAACACCACAGGCAAAUGUCGAGUAUAGACAUCGUAACCCUACAUCGUAUCACUCACUCGUCGUAUAAAAUCUGCAACAUGAAACGUUGCAGCAACGAAGGGUCAAUACUUUGAAUGUAUUGGCAAGUCACACAGGAAUGAUAUAACAUACCUACUCCUAUAUGCAAGGUAUAUCAAGAGGAUAGUGCAGUGGUUGUUUUGCAGAAAAGCUAAUUUUUCCCUGAUAGCUACAUAAUAUAAUAGUCAAAUUUUAAUUAUGUCUUGCUACAGUUAAAUACAUAUGGUUGAGUUGGGAAAUACAAUACCAACCUAUCUCAAUUAUUAAGUUUCCCACUCAAUUUUUAUUAAAGUAUCAUCUGUCAAGAUCAUCCAACGACUGUAAUGGCAUAGUGGCUCAAAUUUGUCCAUAACCGGGGACACAGCUAAUCAUGAUUAGUUUAUACAGUCUGCAGAGGUCUGUACACUGUACCCACUGGACUCAACACGAAGAUUGAGACAAAGUCUUUCAGAAGCAGUCGCCUAGUCCCACAGGAGGCCCAUCCCAACUAUCAUAACUACAUCUGCUGGCACAUCCGGGUAAGGUUUCCGCAACUGAUCAACUAAGCCAGAGCCCAUAUUAGCUACUGGUUGUACAUGGAGGCUACUAGUCACUAAGUUUGUCUGAUCUUUUUGAGCCUGGACGACACCCACUUACAUUGAGAGGGUAUGAACCAUGAUGUUCAUGAAACCACCCAGCAAUACCGUUCGGGCGCACUUAGCCAUGGUCCAUGUCCUUAGAAAAGGAACAAGAAACCAUGAUGCAACCCUGUCCGUCCAGAGGUGAAUUAUAUAUUAUGUUUUUACUCAAGUUAUAUUAUAUAUAGUCCUCACAUAAUCUCGAUGCAUACACGAACCAAUCCCCGUCUACAUAGCAUAGCAAGAAUACACUACCACGAUCUACAAUAAGGCCAUACUAAGCUGAAUCUCAAUAGCAAUAACAUGCUACCAUAAAAUUCCUACACAAUGCAUAGUAUAGUAAUGUGAUAUAUAUAUAUAAAUACACACAUAGAAAAAUAAUAGGUUGAAGUAUGAUCAAGGUGUAACUUGCCUGUAAGUCGGAUGAAGAUCAUCGUACUCACAAUCCUGAUAAUUCUACUCGUCACGCUCCGAGCAAUCUAUCACAAAUGAGAGAAUCCAAAUAAACAACCAUGCCAUAUAGAAGAAUCAAAAGAACAACAAAACAAAUAUGGCUAGGUUAAGCAACAACAACAAAAUAUAUAGGCCAGAUAUAUACUAUGGGUCUUUAUGGUGAUAUAAGGUGGAAGGUGAAGGAAUUAACUUGAAAGAGUCAAUGGAUGAUGAAUUGUUGCCAUAUAAGAUUAAAUUGGAUAUUAUGGAACAAGGUCAUAAGUAUUUGGAGAAGAACAUCCAAAUGGUGUAAUGAUUGCAUAUGUCAUAGGAAUUCACUUGCAAAAAGAAUAGAUUGAUUAGGAGUGCUAUAACACAAGUCAUUGCGAAAUGAUGUGUGAAUUGAAUUUGAAUUCAAAACAGGUCAAGAAUUAUUUGAAUAUUGAGUAUACAUGAUGUCAUCAACAAGUAUUUGGUACAAGAGUUCAGACGCAAAAAUAAUAAACUAAUUUGGAUCGACGGUUUGAAAGGUAUGGCCUCCGGAAGGUUGAAUUCAAAUUUGAUCAAAUUCAAAUUUAAGCAGUUCAAACAUGUGAAAUUUUGGUUCUACUGUAUUCUUCUGGUCACUACGAGUACACAUAAAAAAAUCAAUGAAUUUGGAUAUACAGACCAAGAGAUAUAGCUAAACGAAAUAUUGGUGAAAAUCUGUCUAAAACAUGAUUUUGAACUGCGGUUACUAUAGCAUAGCGCCAUGUGUCACAUGCAGAUUGGCUGAGAUGUAGUUGUGCGUGCGUGCUCACCGAAGCAGGGGAAAACAGCGACGGCUUCGGACGUGGCUGGCGGCGCUCCUCCGGUGGCUCUCCAGUGAAGAUGAGGUGAAGAGCGGAUGCGGCUUGCGAUGACGGAGACGAUGGUAGCUUCAACGGAGAUGGGAGCGUCCUUUCCUGGCGCACCGUCGCUCGAUGGUGUUGGCGAUUUUGGGCGUGAUCGGGAGCUCGGUAUCCCGUGUUCCUGAGAAGAUCAGAGGUUGAGGGGAAUUUAAAAGACCACGAAUAAUACUCAGGAAGGAUUAGCGAGGAACCGAGGCUCACAGAGGCAAUGGAACUAUUCGGGGAAGCUCCGGCAAGGGCAAUACUUCGGCGAGAUCCGGAUUUGUUGAAGAGCUCGAUGUGGUGCGGUCCUGGGAAAAAUCAAAGCGGAGGGGGUGCAUGAGGUUUCCUCGCAGACUAUGGAGUGCUCGGAGAGGGGCCGGGCUUACUUGUGUGGCCGAAAUCGUUCGUCAGAAUCGCCGGAGUCGGCAGAGCUUGGUGAGGUCCUUACGCUCGAUUCCUAGGGGAAAACAAAGUGGAGCCUGCGAGGACUGAUUGAAGGAUUCGAGAGGAACCACACGGCGGCCUCAGAUUGGAAAAGGAGCAAGGGGUCGCGCGAAUCACGCGGGGUUUGGUGCGGCAGUGGCGGCGCUCUCGUCCACGAACAGGAGAUCGAUCGGGAGGUGGAAGGAGGCGGUGGGGUCCGUUGUCAGUGGAAUAGAGAGAAAGAAAGAAAAAACAAAAGAGACGUGGAG
rnacentral:lncRNA from 1 species